CCUACGGGAGGCAGCAGUAGGGAAUCUUCCACAAUGGACGAAAGUCUGAUGGAGCAACGCCGCGUGAGUGAAGAAGGGUUUCGGCUCGUAAAGCUCUGUUGGUAGUGAAGAAAGAUAGAGGUAGUAACUGGCCUUUAUUUGACGGUAAUUACUUAGAAAGUCACGGCUAACUACGUGCCAGCAGCCGCGGUAAUACGUAGGUGGCAAGCGUUGUCCGGAUUUUUUGGGCGGAAAGCGAGUGCAGGCGGUUCAAUAAGUCUGAUGGUAAAGCCGUCGGCUCAACCGGAGAAUUGCAUCAGAAACUGGUGAACUUGAGUGCAGAAGAGGAGAGUGGAACGCCAUGUGUAGCGGUGGAAUGCGUAGAUAUAUGGAAGAACACCAGUGGCGAAGGCGGCUCUCUGGUCUGCAACUGACGCUGAGGCUCGAAAGCAUGGGUAGCGAACAGGAUUAGAUACCCCAGUAGUC
rnacentral:rRNA from 1 species